rnacentral:rRNA from 1 species
CCUACGGGCGGCAGCAGUGAGGAAUAUUGGUCAAUGGGCGAGAGCCUGAACCAGCCAAGUCGCGUGAGGGAUGACGGUCCUAUGGAUUGUAAACCUCUUUUGUCGGGGAACAAAGGCGUCCACGUGUGGACUGAUGAGUGUACCCGAAGAAAAAGCAUCGGCUAACUCCGUGCCAGCAGCCGCGGUUAUACGGAGGGGGCAAGCGGUUACCGGAAUUACUGGGGUUAAAGGGAGCGUAGACGGGUAAGUAAGUCUGGAGUGAAAGGCCGGGGCCCAACCCCGGGACUGCUGUGGAAACUGUUGAACUUGAGUGCAGGAGAGGUAAGCGGAAUUCCUAGUGGAGCGGUGAAAUGCGUAGAUAUUAGGAGGAACACCAGUGGCGAAGGCGGCUUACUGGACUGUAACUGACGUUGAGGCUCGAAAGCGUGGGGAGCAAACAGGAUUAGAUACCCUUGUAGUC